rnacentral:tRNA from 1 species
ACCUGGGUGGCUCAGUCGGUUAAGCAUCUGACUUCAGCUCAGGUCAUGUGGUUUGUGAGUUCAAGCCCCGCUUCAGGCU